GCCAUGUUGUACAAAUGCACCCAGAGACCCAGCUCAAAGCAACAAGGUACACACUCCAGUGUUCCAGCCCUGACUGCGGAGUGGACGAGAAGAGAAAACAUGCAUGUAAUAUUUGCUGACCUCAGCUCUCAUUCUCUGCCUCUAAAUUGCAAGUUCAAGUCUCAGGAACAGUCUACGCAGGAGUACUGACCAGCGCAGGAAUAAAAUUAAAGAAUCAUACCGAAAAUGGAUGCCAAAAACCUAUCAAUUAAGACACUGAAGGUGCUUAUAGGAGUGCAUAAAAUAAGCUACAAAAGAAUCAGAGAAGCCAAGGAUGAGAAAGACGCUCCUUGACUCCAGAUCCAGGUCUGCAGUCAGCACAGAGCCUGCGGUCAGCACAGAACCUGCGGUCAGCACAGAGCCUGCGGUCAGCACAGAGCCCAUGGUCAGCACAGCGCCUGCGGUCAGCACAGAGCCCAUGGUCAGCACAGAGCCUGCGGUCAGCACAGCGCCCGCGGUCAGCACAGAGCCCGCAGUCAGCACAGAGCCCAUGGUCAGCACAGCGCCUGCGGUCAGCACAGCGCCUGCAGUCAGCACAGAGCCCAUGGUCAGCACAGAGCCUGCGGUCAGCACAGAGCCUGCGGUCAGCACAGAGCCUGUGGUCAGCACAGAGCCCAUGGUCAGCACAGAGCCUGUGGUCAGCACAGAGCCUAUGGUCAGCACAGAGCCCGUGGUCAGCACAGAGCCCAUGGUCAGCACAGAGCCUGCGGGCAGCACAGCGCCUGCAGUCAGCACAGAGCCCAUGGUCAGCACAGAGCCUGCGGUCAGCACAGAGCCCAUGGUCAGCACAGAGCCUGCGGUCAGCACAGAGC
rnacentral:lncRNA from 1 species